rnacentral:rRNA from 1 species
AAACAGAUGCUAAUACCGGAUAACAACACUAGACGCAUGUCUAGAGUUUAAAAAGAUGGUUCUGCUAUCACUCUUGGAUGGGACCUGCGGGUGCAUUAGCUAGUUGGGUAAGGGCAACGGGCUUACCAAGGCAAUGAUGCAUAGCCGAGUUGAGAGACUGAUCGGCCACAUUGGGACUGAGACACGGCCCAAACUCCUACGGGAGGCAGCAGUAGGGGAAUCUUCCACAAUGGACACAAGUCUGAUGGAGCAACGCCGCGUGAGUGAAGUAAGGGUUUCGGCUCGUAAAGCUCUGUUGGUAGUGAAGAAAGAUAGAGGUAGUAACUGGCCUUUAUUUGACGGUAAUUACUUAGAAAAGUCACGGGGCUAACUACGUGCCCAGCAGCCGCGGGUAAAUA